rnacentral:tRNA from 1 species
UUUAUGUAGUUUAAAUUAAAACAUUACAUUUUCAUUGUAAAAAUAAUUAAUCAACUAAUUCAUAAAUAC